UUGGGAUACAUUUAAAAAAUAGCAAUACAUAUAUUGCUAGAUGUUAUUUAUUCAAUCUACUGAAAGCAUGUGUGCUUAUUUGAUGUACAUAUGGAUUCAAGCAUCUUUGAAAGAUCACAAGGUGGAAAGCACUGUUCUAAAUUCCCCUCCAACUCUGACAAUCUUAUGUUCUAUGUGAAGUCUAGGUUAGCUCCCUGGAGGCUUCAGAAUCAAUCUGAGUCAGGAAAAGCAAAAAGUCCUUGGUCUUUAAAGGAAGAAGUGAAGGGGAUGGACAAAACUGCCACACGCUCUCCACCAACCAACCUCCCUUCUCCUCAUCCUCCUCCAAAGUGACUCUGGCUUCUCUCACUCCACCCCCUAAUCCCUCCUACAAUUCUCUGUAUAUACCAAAAGAUCGAGCAGGGACACAAUAGUGAGAAAGGCCAUUUUUCCAAGCAUAUGCUAAUAGAGUAUUGUCCAAUAGGUAAUUAGCCUUAAGUGCUCAGUUGUCUGAUUCCAGUGAAACCAGAGUGUCAGCCCUUUACAAUUCUAAGAUUCAUUCCAUUGUAAGAUUCUAAUCUAUGCUUUAAUAUUCACUUUGGCUCUGACUUACACUCUAUAUUCUAAAAUCCCCUUUUGAUUCUGGUUUUUCUAUUUCAAAAUCCUUUCCAUUUCUGAAAUCCUGUGCACUAAGAUUCACUUUGGCUUUGGAUUUCUAUUUUGAGAUUCCUUUGACUUUGACAUUCUAUGUCCUUAUCUAAGGUGCCUUCUAGCUCUGAUGUUCAAUGUUCUAGGGUUCCCUCUAACUCUGACUUUAUAUUUUAAGGUCCCUUCUGCCUCUGAUAUUCUAAGGUCCUAGAGUCUAUGAAGCUCACCUCUGUGUUUCCCUCUCCAGAACCUUGCUUACUUCUCCUGAACUUAAGAAAAAAAAAAUCAUAUAAGUCUUGCAUUUAGCCCUGUGUCCCAUACUUCUAAAUCACUGGCAUGCAGUUUCUCUCUUGGACUGCGGAUUCUUUUUGGAAAGACAUAAUUCUCACUAUAACCAUAAAAAAUUUCCUUGAAAGACCCAUGCAUUUCUGUAGAAUAAAAUGAAAACAUAAGCCCAAUCAUUUUCAUCCCCUUGGAGAGGAGUCAGGAGAUCUGGAAUUCCUUGUUCAGUGGAUUUGUUGCUUGCCUCAGCAGACAAUACCGUAACUCCCUAUGCCUUAUCUGUCCAAAUAUGCCAUUAUGUGUCUUAUCUACUGGUAACCUGAAAGAUAAUGACUUCUACAAAGCAUCAAGCUUCUGAAUUUCAUUCAUCCAGAUCAAGCUCUCCCACAGGUGUCCCACAGAGCUCUGUACUGGAUCUUCUCCUCCCUAAAUACUACUUCACUUGUUCAUUUCCUCAGCUCCCACGGAGCUGGUUCUUCUCCAGCUAGGCUCAUGGUUCUCAAAUCUACCUAUCCUGCCCUCAUCUCUCUACUGACCUCCAAUCUCACAAGUCCAGCUACCUUUCAGACAUUUUAAACCAGAUGUCCAGUAGACAUUAAACUUAACAUGUCCAAAACAGAACUCAUUUCCCCCCUUACUGCCCCCCAUACACCUCUUAUCUAUUGUUGUAGAGGAUAAUAAUAUCCUCCCAGUCUCUCAGACUUGCAACCUAGGAGUUAUCCUGGAUUCCUCACCAGCUCUUCUCCCCCAGCCUUGCCCCCAUAUUUAAUCUGUUUCCAAGGCCUGUUGAUCUCAGCUUUGCAGCAUCUCUCUCUCACCUCCAUUACCUCAUGCCUGGAUUAUUGCAAUAGCCAGCUGAUGAGUCUGUUUACCUCUGUGUCUUCCCAAACCAAUCCAUCCAGAUUGAUUUUCCUAAAGCACAGAUCCAGUGAUGUAAUCCCUUUCCUUCCACAAACUCCAGGGGCUCCCUAUUUCCUCCAGAAUCAAAUAUAAAAUAUUUUUUUGGUUAUUCAAGCCCUUCAUAACUGAGACCUUUCCUACCUCUCCAGUCUUCUUAUACUCUUACUUCUCAGCAGUGACAAUGACCUUUCUGAUGUUCCAUAUGUAAAACAUUCCAUCUCUCCAAUCCAGGUAUUUUCUCUGGAUGUGCCCUAUACCUGGAAGGCUCUCCUUCCUCAGUUCCACCUAUUGACUUCCUUAAAUCCCAACUAAAAUCCCAAUUUUUUUACAAGUUUUUCCCAACCUCUCUUAAUCUUAGUACCUUCUUUUAAUUAUUUCCUAUUUAUUUUCUAUAUAGCUUGUUUAUAUCUACUUAUUUGCAUGUUGUCUCCCCAUUAGAUUAUCGCCUUUAGAGCAGGGACUUUCUGUCCCUUUUUGUAUCUCCUGUGCCUAGCACAUAGUAGGUGCUUAAUAAAAAUUUGAUUGAUUCCAAAGAUCAGUCAUGAAAACAAUGACAAAUACACUGAGAUCAAACUUUUGUUCAUUCAAAAGUCCUAUUCUCAAUGCUAGAGAAGAACAAAUAUAAAAAUCAAUACCUGUGCUUAGAAGUGGGGAUAUAAUUAUAAAAUAAGAUAAUCCCUGCCCUCUCAAAAAACUAAAAAUAGUCAAAAUCCCAUCUUAUUUAAAAUACCUUAUUCUUCUGGUAAUGUUCUGUAGUUGCAUAUCAUGGAAAACUGAUAUAUUAGAAAAGUUCAAAAUUACAGGGAACUCAAAAGGAAUGUAACUGCAAUGUUAAUGCAACACAUUCUGCACACCAAGAAAUAGUGUACAAGAGAUGCAUCAUGAUGUAGGAAGAAAACAAGCAUUAUUAAGUGCCUACUGUAUACUAGGUUCUGUACCAAGUACUUUACCAUUAUAAUCUCAUUUGAUCCUCACAAAAACCCUAUGAGGAAAAACAAACAAACAAAAAACCCUGUGAGGUAGAUGCUAUUAUUAACCCCAUUUUGCAGGUGAGGAAGCUAAGGCAGACAAUGUUUAAAUGACUUGCCCAGGAUCAUCUACUAGGUAAGUGUCUGAGACUAGAUUUAAACUCAGGUGGUUCUGAUUGCAGACCCAGAGGUUUAGCACCAGCUAGCUUCUUCUAAUAAAAAUGCUAAUUUAGCACUAUCCAUUGUACCACCUACCUGCCAUCUAGUGGAUGUAAUGGAAAGAGACAAUGGAUUUGGGGUCAAAAGGCCUGGAUUGGAAUCCUAGUUCAUGCUAGCUAAGUCAUUCUGGGCAAGUCACUCUUAGUCAUCUGUGGACUGGGGAUAAUGAUCUAAUAAUACUCAGAGGACCUACCUCAUAGGGUGGGUAUAAGGAAAAGUUCUCCGUAUAAAGCACUAUAUGAAAAUGGGACAUGUCAAAGACAUGAUAAAGUACAUGUAUAACUAGAAAAGGAACCAGACCAGUCAUGUUGCAAGGAAAAGGGUCAAGAAUUGGGCAGCCCACAUUCUGCACUGGGCCUCAGGAUCUAUUAAAGGAGCUGGAAGGCAGAUCUGUCAUGAAGGUUUUAAAGAAAGGCAAAAACAGGAAUCACAAAGUAUGACAAGUUACAGGGGAGCUACAACCUACUACUGGAGAGUACUGCUGCUGAUGAAAUGUGUUAGUACUGAAGAAGCAUCUUUGCUCUUAAGAAACUUACAGACUAUUAAGUAUGGAGGGUAAGAUCAGGGGUUCAAAAUUGAGAGAAUUGAAGUCGUUCCCCAGUGGAAAAAUAGUCAGUAAUAUAGAAAUAAGUUUCAAAUGUGUGCACAUGUAUAAUCUGUAUCAGAUUGCUUGUUGUCUUGUCAGGGAGGAGAUAAGGAAGGGAGGGAAAAAAUUUAGAACUCAAAAUUUUACAAAAAUGAAUGUUGAUAUACAGGACUGCUUGCCAUCUAGGGGAGGGGGUGGAAGGUGGGAGGGAAAAAUCGGAACAGAAGUGAAUGCAAGGGAUAAUGUUGUAAAAAAAAUUACCCUGGCAUGG
rnacentral:lncRNA from 1 species